GCAGGUAACAGGUAACAAUCAAGCAAAUAAGAAAAUUAGAACAGCCUACUAAGCAACCAUGAAUGCUUGAAUCCAGGUCUAUAGGUCUAUGAAGGUUUGAAUCCAGGUCUGUAGGUCUAUGAAGGUUUGAAUCCAGGUCUGUAGGUCUAUGAAGGUUUGAAUCCAGGUCUGUAGGUCUAUGAAUGUUUGAAUCCAGUUCUAUAGGACUAUAGGUCUACGAAUGUUUGACUCCAGGUCUGUAGGUCUAUGAAUGCUUUAAUCCAGUUCUAUAGGUCUGUAGGUCUAUGAAUGCUUGAAUCCAGGUCUAAAGGUCUAUAUGUCACAACUGCAUGGUUGAGCCCUAAUAAGGGCACGACAUCACUACAUUUCCUCUUUUGCCAUCCAUGUUCUCUGUUUUUCAGCACCUGGUACAAAGUGGUUGACAACAACUAUUCUUGGUGAGCCAUCUGAAACUUUUAAAAUAUGUAGCUGUUACUCCAUGUUGGCCCAUGGUCUUUUCAACUGAUAACCACAGUUAAAAGAAUACUGUAAAAGGAGUUAUCUUCUAUACAUUUAAUGAAGAGAUUACUAUUGGUCAGCCU
ensembl:lncRNA